rnacentral:tRNA from 1 species
UUUAUAUAGUUUAUUAAAACACUACACCUUCAUUGUAAAAUUGAUAUUAUAUAUCUAUAAAUAU